rnacentral:tRNA from 1 species
UAACCUCUGAGCUAAGCGGGCCCAAAUCUUAUAUGCAUAGUAAUUGAC